UACGUAGGGUGCAAGCGUUGUCCGGAAUUAUUGGGCGUAAAGAGCUUGUAGGCGGUUUGCCGCGUCUGCUGUGAAAUUUCGGGGCUCAACCCCGAACUUGCAGUGGGUACGGGCAGACUAGAGUGUGGUAGGGGAGACUGGAAUUCCUGGUGUAGCGGUGGAAUGCGCAGAUAUCAGGAGGAACACCGAUGGCGAAGGCAGAUCUCUGGGCCGUAACUGACGCUGAGGAGCGAAAGCAUGGGGAGCGAACAGG
rnacentral:rRNA from 1 species